UACAGAGGUCUCAAGCGUUGUUCGGAUUCAUUGGGCGUAAAGGGUGCGUAGGCGGCGCGGUAAGUCGGGUGUGAAAUCUCGGAGCUUAACUUCGAAACUGCAUUCGAUACUGCCGUGCUUGAGGACUGGAGAGGAGACUGGAAUUUACGGUGUAGCGGUGAAAUGCGCAGAUAUCAGGAGGAACACCCGUAGCGAAGGCGGCACUCUGGGCCGAUACUGACACUGAGGAGCGAAAGCGUGGGGAGCGAACAGG
rnacentral:rRNA from 1 species